UCCCGUGUGGCUCAGUUGGUAGAGCAUGGUGUUUGCAAUGCCAGGGUUGUGGGUUUGACUCCCACAGGGGAC
rfam:Salmo salar isolate Sally breed double haploid chromosome ssa02, whole genome shotgun sequence.